rnacentral:rRNA from 1 species
AGGUGGUGCAUGGUUGUCGUCAGCUCGUGUCGUGAGAUGUUGGGUUAAGUCCCGCAACGAGCGCAACCCCUACGUUUAGUUGCUUAACGCGUGAAGGCGAGCACUCUAGACGAACUGCCGUUGACAAACGGAGGAAGGUGGGAUGACGCCAAAUCAUCAUGCCCCUUAUGUUCUGGGCUACACACGUGCUACAAUGGCCGGUACAGACGGACGCAAAGCCGCGAGGUGGAGCAAAUCCUAAAAAGCCGGUCUCAGUUCGGAUUGCAGGCUGCAAUUCGCCUGCAUGAAGUCGGAAUCGCUAGUAAUCGCAGGUCAGCAUACUGCGGUGAAUACGUUCCCGGGCCUU